rnacentral:pre_miRNA from 1 species
AAACCUGCCAAACAACAGGACUCGAGCAUUUCGCUCGGCAUUCAUGUUUUUCCUUUGAAAAGAUUAAAUUCUUGUUAGGCUGGUUUAGAUGUAGGUAUUAAGUGUGAAGGAAUGAACCUCAUUUCGUUGGCACUUGAAUACCAGCGUCUAAAGCACGCCUAACAAAAAUUUAUUCUUUUCAAAGGAAAACAUGAAUGCCGGGUGAAAUGCUUGAGUCCUGUUGUUUUGCAGGUUU